rnacentral:ribozyme from 1 species
UGGAAAUGUACAUUCUCAAUUGAAAGACAAAUAAAACAACAAAAAGAAACACGGCAAAAGAAUCGCUUGGUCUACUUAUACCUGGUUCUGUUCUCAUUUUU